rnacentral:rRNA from 1 species
UACAGAGGUCCCAAGCGUUGUUCGGAUUUACUGGGCGUAAAGGGUUCGUAGGUGGCUCGCUAAGCCAGACGUGAAAUCCCUCAGCUUAACUGGGGAACUGCGUCUGGGACUGGAGAGCUUGAGUGCGGGAGAGGAAUGCGGAAUUCCAGGUGUAGCGGUGAAAUGCGUAGAUAUCUGGAGGAACACCGGUGGCGAAGGCGGCAUCCUGGACCAACACUGACGCUGAGGAGCGAAAGCCAGGGGAGCAAACGGG